UGGGGAAUAUUGGACAAUGGGCGAAAGCCUGAUCCAGCCAUGCCGCGUGUGUGAAGAAGGUCUUCGGAUUGUAAUGCACUUUAAGUUGGGAGGAAGGGCAGUAAGCGAAUACCUUGCUGUUUUGACGUUACCGACAGAAUAAGCACCGGCUAACUCUGUGCCAGCAGCCGCGGUAAUACAGAGGGUGCAAGCGUUAAUCGGAAUUACUGGGCGUAAAGCGCGCGUAGGUGGUUCGUUAAGUUGAAUGUGAAAGCCCCGGGCUCAACCUGGGAACUGCAUCCAAAACUGGCGAGCUAGAGUAGGGCAGAGGGUGGUGGAAUUGCCUGUGUAGCGGUGAAAUGCGUAAAUAUAGGAAGGAACACCAGUGGCGAAGGCGACCACCUGGGCUCAUAAUGAAACUGAGGUGCGAAAGCGUGGGGAGCAAACAGG
rnacentral:rRNA from 1 species